AGAUUGAACGCUGGCGGCAGGCCUAACACAUGCAAGUCGAGCGGUAGAGAGGUGCUUGCAUCUCUUGAGAGCGGCGGACGGGUGAGUAAUGCCUAGGAAUCUGCCUAGUGGUGGGGGAUAACGUUCGGAACGGACGCUAAUACCGCAUACGUCCUACGGGAGAAAGCGGGGGACCUUCGGGCCUCGCGCCAUUAGAUGAGCCUAGGUCGAUUAGCUAGUUGUGAGGUAAUGGCUCACCAAGGCGACGAUCCGUAACUGGUCUGAGAGGAUGAUCAGUCACACGUGGAACUGACGACGACGGUCCAGGACCUCCGUACGGGAGGCAGCAGGUGGGAAUAGUGGAACAAGUGGGACGAAAGCCUAGAUCCAGCCCAUCGACCGCGUGUAGGUGAAGGUAAGGUUCUUCGGAAUUUACGGAAAA
rnacentral:rRNA from 1 species